UAUAAAAACAUGAUUUACGAAUAAAAUAUUAACGACUUAAAAAUAUUAAUUACUUAAAGAUAGGUAUUAACUUUCUAGGUAUAACAAUAGUAUUAAAAUAAUGCCAACCACACCUUCAAUCACUUUUGAAAAGCAAAAUGUAAAAACUAGAAAAAUAACCUAAGAUUUUUGCACAGUACUGUAUUUCAAUUGUGUGCGCAAGUUUUCCACUCAAUAGUUGGACCGUUUGAAAUUAACCUCGUGUCGUUUCUUUACUACUUUUAGCGUAUUAUAAAUACGCGAAUGUACGCGAGAAGAAUACUGAUGAAUCCAAAGAGUAUUUGGUAUACUUUAUUUACUCAUAUAUGUUUGUGUUUUGUUUUAUUGUUUUGUUUUCCUAUAAUAUUCUACAAACCGGAGUAAUACGCUACUGCGACUUGUUAAUGAGACUCUAAGUAUUCCGUCGCAUCAGGAAAAACGCGUUUUUUUUCUCUUUUUUUAUCAAUUUUCUUUUUUUCCUUUUGACUCUUAGUCUUUCGUAUAAGACUCCGAUUUCCCCGUCGCCGGAUUUCAUUCUAUUCAAUAUACAAUUCCUUAAAUGGAAUUACAUUUGGUUUAAAUUACAAAAAAUACACAGAAUGCGUAAUACGUAUAAAAACGUGUCGUUUAUGCGUCACAUAGUUAUAUUUAACCUAUAGUAUUCGUCGAUUGUAAGCAGACUUCGAAAUGCAAUGAACUAUCUAUUAUAAAAAUUAAUGGAACGAAUUGAAGGUGGUUUCUGGUUUUGCGGAGACUCGUGAUAAAAUAAUUAAAAUUGUAAAUGUUAAUUGCAAUGCUAUUGAAACAAAAUGUCUACGAGACAUUGAGACACUCUAGACACCAUACUGUAUUAAACGAACACAUUUUACAAAUACAUACUACUUCGAAGUCUGAUUGCAACGAAUGAUCGAUCCGGGUCAGAUAAUUUUAUAUUGCGUUAUUAAUGACCGCCAGAUUACACCUAUUUUAAUUACUACUAUGUUGUUAAUACAUCACGAGCUAUAGUGAUAGUACACGUAAACUAAAAACAUAAUAUCGCUAUUAUUCCUAUGUGUUCUCGAUUUAUAAUAUUCUAUAUGUGUGUUAUAACUCGUCGUAUUCUCUCUACAGCGAAAGCAUGAUCAUGAAACGUAAAAGGUCCCAUCUGCUCUGACAUAUGGAAUACUUCUGUGUGUGUUCGAACGACAAUUAGCUGCCUAAUGUCUGGUAUGCAUGGAAUUCUAUACCUCUGAAAUAAAUGAAAUUGUCGUCUCAUUAUUUAAAUCAUCCGCUGCUAUGUUCCUCAUUGGGAAGUGACAAAAUUUUGUUUUUAAUGCAAAAAUAUGUACAUGUUACUGUUAACUGUGGUUUAAAUGAAACAGAUGUACAUAAAAAAUAAAUAAAUGCAAUACAUAAGGAACAGAAUAUUAUAGACAAUAUUCUAUUUAUUCAAUUGAACAAGAUUUUUUGAGAAUAUUGCAAUGUAUCAAGUAUACUUACGCGUAUACUGAACUUCGAAGUAACGAUAUGAUAAACCUUGGUGUACAUACAUAUCUGUCUCUGUUCCUGCUUAUACACUUACGAACGUCCUGGUUUAUUAUCUAUUAUUCUACCGGUUUAUUAUCGUGACACGUUGUUGGUAUCUAUCGGUUUAUCGAUUUUGGUCUCUCUACAUAUUACAGAAGCACAUAACUCAAAGCACAUACAUCUAUAAAUCUACAAAUCGAUUUUCUCAAAAACGAAACCUUACUCGAAGAAAUUUUACCUUUCAUUUCCGAUUUACAUGUAUAUAUAAAGAAAAAAAAAAAAUACGAUUGUUAUAAAAGAUAUUAUAUUAUCAUUCACAGUUAAUCUGAAUUAAUUAAUAAUUUCUACAUUUUAAUUUUAUUUCUUAACAUUACCGUUAGUCACUUUGCUUUUCUCUUAUUUGCGCUUAAUAAGACAGAACAUGGAGUUACGCGCGAAAAUUACAGUCGAAAAAGAAAAGCGUGUAAUUUGAAAUACUAUUUUCUAUUUUGGUAUAAUUAUUCGUCUACGCAGUUAGAGAGAUCGCCGAUAAACCGUACGGUAUACACCUCUCACCUUUUCGACGUGGAAAUUAAUUAACAAAAAAAGGGAAAAAAGGAAAAGUGUGAAAACAUCUCGUUAACGAGUCGGCCUUAACAUCGAUUUUAUAUUUUCUUGUAUUAAUCGUUCGUCGUUAAAUAAAAUAUCGUUUCACGCAAGAUCAAUGAGGUUCAAGUAGCGACGAAUGGAUUUCAUAGACGUCCAAUUAAAACACCGACUCGUGUGUUUCUCAACUACUUAUUUUACGUAUUUGUUAUACGCGUAUGUCUAAAUAUGAACGAAUAACACGCUAAAUAGAACAAACAGGGUUUUCGAGCAAGUUAUACGAAGAAACGUAACAACAAGACGGAUGAUUUGCAUUGCUAAUAUUUAGCAAGGAAAAUAGAUUACUUUAUAAGUUGAUACAAUAUUAUGUCAUUGUUUGAAAAAA